UGAAAAAUUUAACCUGUGUGUCGCUAGAUUGUGUGAUAGAGUGUAGACAUUUGGAUGAUGUACUCAUUUUGUCUAU
rnacentral:sRNA from 1 species